CUUUCCCCACACUGCAGGUGCCUACUCUGCUAACAUUUACCCGGCCGGGAGAAAGGCCACGAGGGAGCUCAGUGUUCCAGCUCCUCACUGCUCCCUCGCACACGCUGACUGAAGUGAAGCCGGGCGCCGGAAUAUGACGUCAUAUUCCAGCACCACUAAACCGCGUGAGGAGCUGGAAGGACCCCAGGGAGAUCCCCACAUCAGCUGCAUAAGGUAAGGAGCAAUAACUAAAAGUAUGUGUGUGUCUGUGAGUAUGUCAGUGAGUCUGUCUGUCUGUCAGUAUGUGUGUGUCAGUGGGAGGAUGUGAUUUGGCACAG